rnacentral:rRNA from 1 species
GAGAGGGAGCCUGAGAAACGGCUACCACAUCCAAGGAAGGCAGCAGGCGCGCAAAUUACCCACUCCCGGCACGGGGAGGUAGUGACGAAAAAUAACGAUACGGGACUCAUCCGAGGCCCCGUAAUCGGAAUGAGUAUACUCUAAAUCCUUAUACGAGUAUCAAUUGGAGGGCAAGUCUGGUGCCAGCAGCCGCGGUAAUUCCAGCUCCAAUAGCGUAUAUUAAAGUUGUUGCGGUUAAAAAGCUCGUAGUUGGAUCUGUGUCCCGCGCCGUCGGUUCACCGCCUGUCGGUGUUUAACUGGCGUGUAUGCGGGACGUCCUGCCGGUGGCGGUUCGGUGCCCCUGAGGUUCGUAGGGGUCGUCCUUGCAUCGCAUGCGUCGUCCCCGAAGGCCUUUGCGGUGUCUCCGGCCGCCUUUUCGAUCCCGUCGCGGUGCUCUUUACCGAGUGUCGAGGCGGGCCGGCACGUUUACUUUGAACAAAUUAGAGUGCUUUAAGCAGGCCCUGUCCCGCCUGUAUGUUGUGUGCAUGGAAUAAUGGAAUAGGACCUCGGUUCUAUUUUGUUGGUUUUCGGAAUCUGAGGUAAUGAUCAAUGGGGACAGGCGGGGGCAUUCGUAUUGCGACGUUAGAGGUGAAAUUCUUGGAUCGUCGCAAGACGGACCGAAGCGAAAGCAUUUGCCAAGUAUGUUCUCGUCGAUCAAGAACGAAAGUUAGAGGUUCGAAGGCGAUCAGAUACCGCCCUAGUUCUAACCAUAAACUAUGCCUGCCAGCGAUCCGCCGAAGUUCCUCCGAUGACUCGGCGGGCAGCUUCCGGGAAACCAGAGCUUUUGGGUUCCGGGGGAAGUAUGGUUGCAAAGCUGAAACUUAAAGGAAUUGACGGAAGGGCACCACCAGGAGUGGAGCCUGCGGCUUAAUUUGACUCAACACGGGAAAACUCACCAGGCCCGGACACCGGAAGGAUUGACAGAUUGAGAGCUCUUUCUUGAUUCGGUGGGUGGUGGUGCAUGGCCGUUCUUAGUUGGUGGAGCGAUUUGUCUGGUUAAUUCCGAUAACGAACGAGACUCUAGCCUACUAACUAGGCGUACCCGGUAUCCACAAUCGUGCUACCGGCGAUCAAAUUUCUUCUUAGAGGGACAGGCGGCUUCUAGCCGCACGAGACUGAGCAAUAACAGGUCUGUGAUGCCCUUAGAUGUCCUGGGCCGCACGCGCGCUACACUGAAGGAAUCAGCGUGUCUUCCCUGCCCGAAAGGGCCGGGUAACCCGCUGAACCUCCUUUGUGCUAGGGAUUGGGGCUUGCAAUUGUUCCCCAUGAACGAGGAAUUCCCAGUAAGCGCGAGUCAUAAGCUCGCGUUGAUUACG